AUGAACGGAGCAGAGCUCCAAGCCUCCCCGGCCCCCCUGCCCCCUGAUCACCUGCUGCGCUCCGGAGCGGUCAUCUUCCCCGGUGCGUUCGACCAGCACGGCUGUCCUCUGGUCGUGUUCCCAGCGGAGGCUCAGGCCACACUCCCAGAGGAGCUCAGCAGAGAGGAGGUGUCCCACUUCAUACACUACUGCCUGCGCCUGCACAACAUCAGAGGCGAGGAGAGCCUGCUGUCUGUGGUUGUUGAUUUGAGGCAAGCCAGCCUCGCCGUCGCACGCUUCAUCGCUGAAACUCUGCUGUUGUUGGAGGUUUCCAGAAGGAUCGUCCACUCGGUGUAUAUUGUUCAACCAAAGAAGAAAGAUGUCCUGAAGCAGCUGGGGAAGCUCCUGACACCGAGCGGCUCCAAGCAGCACAGACCCGUCCUCUUCAAACGUGUCUUUCUGAAAGAGGUUUUUGAGCUUUCCAACUACAUCGACAGAAGCCAGUUACCGUCCAGUCUGGGUGGAUACCUCAUAUACUGCCAUAAGAGCUGGGUUGCCUUCGUUAAGGAGAUCGACGCGUUUGUGCAGGAGUUCCUGUUGGUGGUGAACCGACUGCCGUCCUGUAUCUGGACUCUGCAGGCGCUCUCCAAGCGUCCCGUCCCAGCAGACCUGGAGCGGCUGCAGGAGUUCUGCUGUGUGAACCAGGCACACUUCCAGCAGCUCCGGAGGGAUCUUGGUUUGGAUGACUUGUUGAAGCACUGCGAGGGUUUGUUGGAGAAGCUGCGUUUCCCUGAGAAAGAUCCCUGUUUUCACGCUAUGGCUGGAACGCUGCUCUACACGCACACCGCACUAGAGAUGCUCCACAACUACAACCGGAUCACCGCAGCGGUGGAGAAGGUGGAGUUGCUGUGGCAGCAGGUGUUCUCCAGAGCCCACGUCCAGCUGCAGCUCCUCCAUCUGCAGCGAGAGGCCCAGCAGAUACAGGAGCAGAUGUUUGUGUUGCACAGGGAGAAAGUCCAGCCCUACAGGAUCGAAGUGGCUAAAGACGUGCACAGAGCUGAAGAGAUCCGGCAGGAGUUUGAGGCUUCAGUAUACACUCAUGCAAUGGCGCUGGUUCGUCGCGCGGAGGACGUCAUGCACACGUUAGCGGAGACUGUUCCGUUCAGCGAGAGAAAGCCUGCGGAGCCGUGGCUAGAGGAUUUGUCCAGACUGAAGGAGAACCUCUCCUCUGCUGUUCAGCAUCUGUAUCAGACUCUGAGGACCGUGUCUGACUUCCAUCACACCUGCAACAGAUGUAAGAGCUGGUACGGUGUAGUGCUGCGCGAGAGCCUCCUGCAGGAGCUGCUGUGGAGUGGACGCUGUGACCUGUCCAGCUGCAGGAGAGGAGUGCAGAGCUUCCUCAGGAGAAACCCCUGCCCGGAGGUGCAGGAGCUGGUGAAGCUGGCGCAUCUCGCUAACGCUAUAACCGACCCGCACCUUCGGCAUACUGGCACGCAGCUGUCUCACAGAUGCAUGACUCUGAGGAGACUCUUGACCUCAGCUGGGCCCAUCCCCCUUCACGACCUUCAGCUUGCCCUCCAGUGGCAGUACGAGUUCCUCAAGGGUCACCACACGACCCCUGACAUCACUUCUCCCGAGGACGAGCGUGUUUCCUGCGGUCAUGUGGUUUCUCAGUGUGAGAGCUUGUGUGAUUUGGCCAAGUGGCCUUCUGUUGGCGACUGCCGUCACCAGACCUCGUCCGCUCUGGGAUCUUCUGCAGGCAAACCUCCCUCUCUCAGCUCCUUUGACUCCGGGUUCGAUGGAGCGGCCAGCAGUCACCUGGACAGCAGGAGCAGAAGAGAGCCGCUGCCUAGGAUUCUGGGAAAUGGAGACUCCGCUUUCAAGUCGAAACCUCUGCAUGGACAGAUUGACGAGGAGAACAUUGUGAGCGUGUCUGAUUCUGAAGACCAGCGUGAAGCGCUAGGGUUUAGUUUAAAGCGGGACUCCACUCGUGCCAGCAUUCAGAUCGUUCCCAAAAUUACCUCCGACUCUCUGAACCUUGAGAUCAAGGUGAAGCGCUCCGCUACGCUGCCCAAGAACCCCUGGCUGAGCCUCCCGAUAGAUGAUCUGGAGAGCUCUUAUACGGUCACCAUUACACCCAGCUCCUCCAGAGAGCCGAGGAGCCCCGGCCGGGCUCGAGAUCGGCCCUCUCCGACCGAGGAGCUGGGGUCCGCUCCGCACCAGAGUCAGCAGAGCUUCGAGGAGUCGGAGCUGGAUCCUGUGGGAAACGUUCUGUCCAGUACCUUAACAGAUAUCGAAGACAAGCCCAGCAGCGUGGUGGAUGGGGAUCCUUCUCUUCUCUGGGACACGUUUGAUCUUCACAAUCUCAGACAGGACUCUUACGAACGGUUGGACGUGUCUCUCGGUGACUGGGUUCAGAGAGAGCAACAAGAGCUGAGAGAGGUGGAGGAGACUUUAGACAGAGCAGCUGAGAUACUACAGGUGUGUGUCUUGUCUACAGCGAUCCACCACGGCACAUUAAAGAGCGCCAAAAGGGCCUUAAAUGUGCAUUCUAUGAUAAAACGAACAAUUCAAAAUCUGAUAAUUUUUAAUCAGAAGUAG
rnacentral:lncRNA from 1 species